GCUGGUUGCUGAGUUUGGAGAGCGUUGGGCAGUUUGUGUUUAAUUGUGACUGUUGAAUAAUUUUUUUGUGCUUGUGAAGCCAUACUCUGUCCCUGUUAUGAAAGGAGGUGUAAGAGGCCAGCUCUUGCCAUUCUGUUUUUUGUUUUUGCAUUUGGUGGUGGUAACAAGCAUGUUCUGGAAGCCCAGAGUUGUAGUACUUAUUACCAG